UACGUAGGGUCCGAGCGUUGUCCGGAAUUACUGGGCGUAAAGAGCUCGUAGGUGGUUUGUCGCGUUGUUCGUGAAAACCGGGGGCUUAACCCUCGGCGUGCGGGCGAUACGGGCAGACUUGAGUACUGCAGGGGAGACUGGAAUUCCUGGUGUAGCGGUGGAAUGCGCAGAUAUCAGGAGGAACACCGGUGGCGAAGGCGGCUCUCUGGACCGAGACUGACGCUGAGGCGCGAAAGCGUGGGGAGCAAACAGG
rnacentral:rRNA from 1 species